UAUCUAUGUUAUUCAGAUUCGGGGUGAAUGUUUCACCGCUUUAUAAGUGACUGUUGCUGCAGUUCGAGCGACAGUAAAAGAUGGUGCAAUGUGGUAUGUACUGUUAACUGGUGGAGUAUGGUCUUAAGAAUUGGAAGUGUGGCACCAAAUGGGGCAAUGAGCCUUCAUCCAAACCAAAGCUAUUGUCUGAAGGUGGAACAUUUGUCCUGGUGGAAAUUCACUGCAAGUACAAUUGAUUGUGUGCAACUAAAAGAAAAAAUUACAUCAGCAGUAUAACAACCUGUGUUACUAUAGUGCAAUGGCACAGCCAAAAUAGAGGAGGCAGAAGACAGAGAACUUAUUAGGUCUUCGUGCUCGCUCUCAAACACAGGUACAUCCAAUGGGUACGACUAAAAUUGUAACAUACCCAUCUCCCCCCACCUCCUUUUCCUGUACCAUGUUCUGCCGAUGACCCGUUGAAGGGAAUGGAAAGGCAAAUGUGGUGUUUUGGGAAGUUCUCCUGAUCCCAGGUAGUCAUAGUCCAUUAGCAGACACUCAGCUUUCCUUAAACCUCCUAUUCUGCUUCUAGAUAGCUCCAGGCAGCCACCCUCAUGCAAAGGUACUCCAGCCCACAAAGCCCCAUUGAGUGGUAACGGCUCCAACACAGCAACUUGUUUCAAAGGGCAUGGGGUCAUGGGUCCAGUACCAACCAAAGAAUUGAUCUAAGUGUUUUUUUGGGUGGGGCAGUUAAGGAGAUGAGUGAUGCACACUGCACCCGAGUUGACAGUUGAUGUAGCUUAGCUGAACCAGGCCACUCCCACACCACUAACCACUGUUCCAGAGAUUUCUUUUAAUGGUUCCUGGCAAAUUCACACUUUUUUGGUGUGUUACUGUAUUGGAGGAAGAAAUGCAAUGUAAUAAAUAAAAACCUAAAUUCUAUGCACUAACCCUGUGAAAUUUUAAAACUUUAUAAAUAUUCCAGUAUCCAAAUCUAACUGCUAAAAUACUAGCCACCAUAAUCAUACUAUAUACCCUGGUAUAAAUUAUAUUGCAUAGCUCCCCUUUCAGCUGCACGCUUUGUAGAGUGUAAUUUCCAGAGGUUUCAUCUCCCUGUCCUUCCUUCAAAAUGCUGUCAUCUUGCUAUUACAAAAAAGUCCACCUUCAUUCCCAGAAAGUCUGUUCAUGUUUUGUAAAGAUGUACUAUGCUUGAAAUCAAAAUAAGAGGCUGGAAUAAAAAGCAAAAUACUACAGGUGCUGGAAAUCUGAAAUACAAGGUUGAGUCAUAUUGGACUCAACGUUAGGAUCUCUAAAGAGAAAUAGAGUUAUGUUUCCAAACAAAAACAAGGGUUGGAAAUGCCAAUCAGUUGGCAGUAGAAAAAGCGAUGCCAAGUUUUAAUGUUUCAGAACUGAAAUUUUGACUCCCACCACUCCCCUACAAAAUUCAGAUUUCCUUCACUGUCUUGAUUUCAAGUUUUGAGCAUCUGAAGUUUGCUUUUGGCUACACUAAGUUGUUUGUAUUUACUAUGUUAAGCUACAUGUAUUUAUACAAUGCUGCUAAUGUAAAAUAAAGCAAUCAAAGCAA